rnacentral:rRNA from 1 species
GACUGACGCUCAGGUGCGAAGCGUGGGGAGCAAACAGGAUUAGAUACCUGGUAGUCCACGCUGUAAACGAUGUCGAUUUGGAGGUUGUUCCCUUGAGGAGUGGCUUCCGGAGCUAACGCGUUAAAUCGACCGCUGGGGAGUACGGCCGCAAGGUUAAAACUCAAAUGAAUUGACGGGGGCCCGCACAAGCGGUGGAGCAUGUGGUUUAAUUCGAUGCAACGCGAAGAACCUUACCUACUCUUGACAUCCAGAGAAUUUAGCAGAGAUGCUUUAGUGCCUUCGGGAACUCUGAGACAGGUGCUGCAUGGCUGUCGUCAGCUCGUGUUGUGAAAUGUUGGGUUAAGUCCCGCAACGAGCGCAACCCUUAUCCUUUGUUGCCAGCACAUUAUGGUGGGAACUCAAAGGAGACUGCCGGUGAUAAACCGGAGGAAGGUGGGGAUGACGUCAAGUCAUCAUGGCCCUUACGAGUAGGGCUACACACGUGCUACAAUGGCGUAUACAAAGAGAAGCGACCUCGCGAGAGCAAGCGGAACUCAUAAAGUACGUCGUAGUCCGGAUUGGAGUCUGCAACUCGACUCCAUGAAGUCGGAAUCGCUAGUAAUCGUAGAUCAGAAUGCUACGGUGAAUACGUUCCCGGGCCUUGUACACACCGCCCGUCACACCAUGGGAGUGGGUUGCAAAAGAAGUAGGUAGCUUAACCUUCGGGAGGGCGCUUACCACUUUGUGAUUCAUGACUGGGGUGAAGUCGUAACAAGGUAACCA